AGAGUCGAACGGUUACAGGAUGUGCUUGCACAUCGCUGACGAGUUGGCGCGACGGGUGAGUAACGCUUAUGGAUCUGCCUCUGUGUGGGGGAUACUAUUGGCAAACGACUACCUACUAGCGGAUAAUGUUUACGAACCAAGGGGGGCGCUUUGCUCCCGCGCAUAGAGGAACCUAAGUGAGAUUAGCUAGUUGGUAAGGUAAUGGCUUACCAAGGCGACGAUCUCUAGCUGUGCUGAGAGGAAGAUCAGCCACACUGGGACUGAGACACGGCCCAGACUCCUACGGGAGGCAGCAGUGGGGAAUAUUGCACAAUGGGGGGAACCUCUGAUGCAGCCAUGCCGCGUGUGUGACGAACGGCCUGCGGGUAGUAAAGCACUUUCAGUUGUGAGGAAAGGUUAGUAGUUAAUACCUGCUAGCUGUGACGUUCGCAACAGAAGAAGCACCGGCUAACUCCGUGCCAGCAGCCGGGGUAAUACGGAGGGUGCGAGCGUGAGUCGGAAUUACUGGGCGUAAAGCGCGCGUAGGUGGUUUAGUCAGCUCAGAUGUGAAAGCCCAGAGGUCAACCUUGGAACUGCAGCUGAUACUGCAAGACUAGAGUACAAUAGAGGGGAGUGGAAUUACCGGCGUAGCGUGGAACUGCGUAGAGAUCGGAGGGAACACCAGUGGCGAAGGCGACUCCCUGGAUUGAUACUGACACUGAGGUGCAAAAGCGUAGGGAGCAAAAGGGAUAGAUACCUGGUAUGCAGCC
rnacentral:rRNA from 1 species